CGGCAGGCCUAAUACAUGCAAGUCGAACGGUGUAGCAAUACAUAGUGGCGCACGGGUGCGUAACACGUAUGCAACCUACCUUAUACUGGGGGAUAGCCUUUGGAAACGGAGAUUAAUACCCCAUAGUACAUUUGAUUGGCAUCAAUUAAAUGUUAAAGAUUUAUCGGUAUAAGCUGGGCAUGCGUCCAAUUAGUUAGUUGGUGAGGUAAUGGCUCACCAAGACUUUGAUUGGCAGGGGAACUGAGAGGUUAAUCCCCCACACUGGCACUGAGAUACGGGCCAGACUCCUACGGGAGGCAGCAGUAGGGAAUAUUGGGCAAUGGAGGCAACUCUGACCCAGCCAUGCCGCGUGCAGGAAGAAGGCGUUAUGCGUUGUAAACUGCUUUUAUAUAGGAAGAAAUAGUCCUUGCGAGGAAAGUUGACGGUACUAUAUGAAUAAGCACCGGCUAACUCCGUGCCAGCAGCCGCGGUAAUACGGAGGGUGCAAGCGUUGUCCGGAUUUAUUGGGUUUAAAGGGUGC
rnacentral:rRNA from 1 species